UGGGGAAUAUUGGACAAUGGGCGGAAGCCUGAUCCAGCAACGCCGCGUGAGGGAUGACGGCCUUCGGGUUGUAAACCUCUUUCAGUACCGACGAAGCGAAAGUGACGGUAGGUACAGAAGAAGGACCGGCCAACUACGUGCCAGCAGCCGCGGUAAUACGUAGGGUCCGAGCGUUGUCCGGAAUUAUUGGGCGUAAAGGGCUCGUAGGCGGUUUGUCGCGUCGGGAGUGAAAACAGCGGGCUUAACUCGUUGCUUGCUUUCGAUACGGGCAGACUAGAGGUAUGCAGGGGAGAAUGGAAUUCCUGGUGUAGCGGUGAAAUGCGCAGAUAUCAGGAGGAACACCGGUGGCGAAGGCGGUUCUCUGGGCAUUACCUGACGCUGAGGAGCGAAAGUGUGGGGAGCGAACAGGAUUAGAUACCCU
rnacentral:rRNA from 1 species